AUUGAACGCUGGCGGCAUGCCUAACACAUGCAAGUCGAGCGGAUGGAUGGAGCUUUCUCCUGGAUUCAGCUGCGGACGGGUGAGUAAUGCCUAGGAAUCUGCCUUGUCUUUGGGGAUAACGUCCGGAAACGGGCCCUAAUACCGCAUACGUCCUGAUGUAGAAAGUGGUGGAUCUUCGGACCUCACGCUAUCAGAUGAGCCUAUGUCGGAUUAGCUAGUUGGUUGGGUAAAGGCCUACCAAGGCGACGAUCCGUAACUGGUCUGAGAGGAUGAUCAGGCACACUGGAACUGAGACACGGUCCAGACUCCUACGGGAGGCAGCAGUGGGGAAUAUUGGACAAUGGGCGAAAGCCUGACGCAGCAAUGCCGCGUGUGUGAAGAAGGUCUUCGGAUUGUAAAGCACUUUAAGUUGGGAGGAAGGGAAGUAAGUUAAUAUCUUGAUGUUUUGACGUUACCAAAAGAAUAAGCACCGGCUAACUUCGUG
rnacentral:rRNA from 1 species